rfam:Ictidomys tridecemlineatus contig007928, whole genome shotgun sequence.
GGGGGUGUAACUCAGUGGUAGAGAACUUGCCUAAGCAUGUGCAAGGCCCUGGGUUUGAACCCCAGCACCACAA